AUUGAACGCUGGCGGCAGGCCUAACACAUGCAAGUCGAACGAGUGGCGGACGGGUGAGUAAUGUCUGGGAAACUGCCCGAUGGAGGGGGAUAACUACUGGAAACGGUAGCUAAUACCGCAUACCAUCGGAUGUGCCCAGAUGGGAUUAGCUAGUAGGUGGGGUAAUGGCUCACCUAGGCGACGAUCCCUAGCUGGUCUGAGAGGAUGACCAGCCACACUGGAACGGAGACACGGCCCAGACUCCUACGGGAGGCAGCAGUGGGGAAUCUUGCGCAAUGGGCGCAAGCCUGAUACAGCCAUGCCGCGUGAAUGAAGAAGGCCUUCGGGUUGUAAAGUUCUUUCAUCGAGGAGGCGUUACUCGCCGAAGAAGCCCCGGCUAACUCCGUGCCAGCCGCCGCGGUAAUUC
rnacentral:rRNA from 1 species